rnacentral:rRNA from 1 species
CAGAGGUCCCAAGCGUUGUUCGGAUUCACUGGGCGUAAAGGGUGCGCAGGUGGGUUUGCAAGUUCGAUGUGAAAGCCCCGGGCUUAACCCGGGAAUGGCAUUGGAUACUGCAGAUCUGGAGGAUCGGAGGGGGGUCUGGAAUUCUUGGUGUAGCAGUGAAAUGCGUAGAUAUCAAGAGGAACACCAGUGGCGAAGGCGAGUCCCUGGACGAUACCUGACACUGAGGCACGAAAGCUAGGGGAGCAAACAGGAUUAGAUACCCUGGUAGUCCUAGCUGUAAACGGUGCGCAUUUGCUGUAAACGGAAUCGACCCCGUUUGUGGCGAAGCUAACGCGAUAAAUGCGCCGCCUGGGAAGUACGGUCGCAAGAUUA